AAAUUAUUAUGCAAAUUGGAAUUAAAUGUCAUAAACAUUAAAUAUUUAGUUUUCCAAUCAAACUCAUCGAUGGUAUUGGGCUCUUUGGAUCGCUGAAAUCUAUCUCAGACACCAGUGAUCAUUAGUUUGCCAGGUGAGCCCAAUUAAAAACACACUACUUAAGAAGGAUGUUCCACAUUAUUAAGCAGGCCACAGGUUUCAAGCAAUAUGGGAAAGAAAAAGGAUCUCUCUGUUGCAGAAAAGCAUUAAAUAGUGCAAUGAAAAUGCUGGCCAACAACCUGGGCAAGGAAUUCUACUACUCUGGUCCAAAGACAUUGUGAACCCCUUCUGGUGGUGCUGUAAGCAAGCUGAAACCUAUAAACAGUUUCUGAACAUCCAUACAACAGGUACAGACGACUGUACAAGAAGUCAAGGAGCUGGUGUGUGUAUGCUGUGAAGGAGAAGACCUACAGCUACAUCCCUGACCUACAGCGAAAAGUCUACCUGAUUUCCGAGCCUUCAACUGCCAAUCAACACCAACUGUAGAGAUUCCUAGCCUUGCUGCUGACAUCUUUCCAAACAUUACCUGAUUGUGAAUAGAAUUUGGAAGAUACAGACCAUAGAAAACAACCUAGCAAUGUCUCAACAUUGCCUCUGUACUUGUGCCUUGUAAAUAAAAUAAAGCCUUUAUUUUCAAACACUAGUGCAGCAUAUAUAAAGUUACCUAGAAAAAAAAAGUAUAUAACAUUUUAAUCUCAGGUGACCUGAAAUCCCUUAAAGGCGAAUGGGGAAGUAUAGAGGAGAAGGAGAAGAAAUGGUAUUUAAAGGAGGCAGAACAGCUAAAAAAACAGAUGGACCGAUGUUUGAGGAGGUUAGGAUCAAAAAGGUGG
ensembl:lncRNA